rnacentral:rRNA from 1 species
CCUACGGGUGGCAGCAGUGAGGAAUAUUGGUCAAUGGGCGCGAGCCUGACCCAGCCAAGUCGCGUGAAGGAUGACUGCCCUACGGGUUGUAAACUUCUUUUAUAAAGGAAUAAAAUGAGGCGCGUGUGCCUUUUUGUAUGUACUUUAUGAAUAAGGAUCGGCUAACUCCGUUCCAGCGGCCGCGGUAAUACGGAGGAUCCGAGCGUUAUACGGAUUUAUUGGGUUUAAAGGGAGCGUAGAUGGGUUGUUAAGUCAGUUGUGAAAGUUUGCGGCUCAAACGUAAAAUUGCAAUUGAUACUGGCAGUCUUGAGUACAGUUGAGGUAGGCGGAAUUCGUGGUGUAGCGGUGAAAGGCUUAGAUAUCACGAAGAACUCCGAUUGCGAAGGCAGCUUACUAAACUGCCACUGACAUUGAUGCUCGAAAGUGUGGGUAUCAAACAGGAUUAGAGACCCUGGUAGUC